rnacentral:rRNA from 1 species
UACGGGGGGGGCAAGCGUUGUUCGGAAUUACUGGGCGUAAAGGGUUUGUAGGUGGCUUGUUAAGUCAGGCGUGAAAUCCCUCAGCUUAACUGGGGAACUGCGUCUGAUACUGGCGAGCUUGAGUGCAGGAGAGGAACGCGGAAUUCCAGGUGUAGCGGUGAAAUGCGUAGAUAUCUGGAGGAACACCGGUGGCGAAGGCGGCGUUCUGGACUGCAACUGACACUGAGAAACGAAAGCCAGGGUAGCAAACGGG